CAGCCGCCGCGGUAAUACGGAGGGUGCGAGCGUUGUUCGGAUUUACUGGGCGUAAAGGGCGCGUAGGCGGUUUGGCAAGUCAGGUGUGAAAUCCUUCCGCUCAACGGAAGAAGUGCACUUGAAACUGCCAAGCUAGAGUAUGGGAGAGGAGAGCGGAAUUCCCGGUGUAGAGGUGAAAUUCGUAGAUAUCGGGAGGAACACCCGUGGCGAAGGCGGCUCUCUGGCCCAAUACUGACGCUGAGGCGCGAAAGCGUGGGGAGCAAACAGGAUUAGAUACCCUGGUAGUCCACGCCCUAAACGGUGAGAACUAGGUGUGGUGGGGGUUUUACCUGCCGUGCCGAAGCUAACGCAUUAAGUUCUCCGCCUGGGGAGUACGGCCGCAAGGUUGAAACUUAAAGGAAUUGGCGGG
rnacentral:rRNA from 1 species